rnacentral:rRNA from 1 species
AUCAUGGCUCAGAUUGAACGCUGGCGGCAUGCCUAACACAUGCAAGUCGAACGGUAACGCGGAGAGCUUGCUCUCUGGCGACGAGUGGCGGACGGGUGAGUAAUACUUAGGAAUCUGCCCAUUAGUGGGGGACAACUCGGGGAAACUCGAGCUAAUACCGCAUACGCCCUACGGGGGAAAGCGGAGGACUCUUCGGAGCUUCGCGCUAAUGGAUGAGCCUAAGUCGGAUUAGCUUGUUGGUGGGGUAAAGGCCUACCAAGGCGACGAUCCGUAGCUGGUCUGAGAGGACGAUCAGCCACACUGGGACUGAGACACGGCCCAGACUCCUACGGGAGGCAGCAGUGGGGAAUAUUGGACAAUGGGGGCAACCCUGAUCCAGCAAUGCCGCGUGUGUGAAGAAGGCCUGCGGGUUGUAAAGCACUUUCAGUAGAGAAGAAAAGCCUGGCGUUAAUACCGCCGGGUCUUGACGUAACCUACAGAAGAAGCACCGGCUAACUCCGUGCCAGCCGCCGCGGUAAUUC